UCGGGAAUAUUGGACAAUGGGCGCAAGCCUGAUCCAGCCAUGCCGCGUGAGUGACGAAGGCCUUAGGGUUGUAAAGCUCUUUUGGCGGGGAAGAUAAUGACGGUACCCGCAGAAUAAGCUCCGGCUAACUUCGUGCCAGCAGCCGCGGUAAUACGAAGGGAGCUAGCGUUGUUCGGAAUCACUGGGCGUAAAGCGCACGUAGGUGGGCAGUUAAGUCAGGGGUGAAAGCCCGAGGCUCAACCUCGGAAUUGCCUCUGAUACUGGCUGUCUAGAGUUCGAGAGAGGUGAGUGGAAUUCCUAGUGUAGAGGUGAAAUUCGUAGAUAUUAGGAAGAACACCGGUGGCGAAGGCGGCUCACUGGCUCGAUACUGACACUGAGGUACGAAAGCGUGGGGAGCAAACAGGAUUAGAUACCCAGGUAGUCCCUGAGCGGGCUGGCAAGGCGCAU
rnacentral:rRNA from 1 species